UAACUCUUCCACCAUUGCAAUAGAAUGCUUCCGGCGGUACUGUAGAAGUAGAACGCGCUCAUCUUUCUGAGAAGCUUACCGGAAAGCUUAGGAAGAUUAGCUCCGACAAGUCAAUUUAUAUUUCCUGCUCAGUCCAGUAAAAGCAAGAAAACUUUUUCCUGGAAAAUAGAGAAGAAAAGAAGAUGAACAGUACAUCACCAGCUCAUUCAUCAGUAUCAACAACAGCAAUCGUUGGAGGCGGCGGUAGCAAUGCCGCUUUGGAAGAUUUUCAUUUCCCUUCCGAUCUUAUAUCUAUCCAAGACCGCAAGGAAGAAGCCAUGCUUGUUCUGAAAGCUGAUUUGAUGGCUGCACUUAACAAAGAGGUUAAAUCCUUGGAUGAAGAUAAUUGGAAGUUUGAAGGACCUCGUUCACGCAUCAACCUUAUAUCAAGGCCUGGUGGAUUUCUAAACAAGAAGAUGGAAAUAACAAAGAAUAGGAACAUAGCUCCACCAAAGUAAAUUGGAUUUUUCAGACAGGUCUCAUCUUUCAUCUGCUGCCUCUGAGAAAUCUGUUCUGCUGCUGCUGGCAAGACUAAAGCUGUUUUG
rnacentral:misc_RNA from 1 species